rnacentral:tRNA from 1 species
CUUUUAGAAAUUAGUUUAAUAAGAAUUUUUGACUGUUGAUCGAAAGGUUAUUUUCUAGAAGG